UUUAUCGAAGUUUACUUAAAUUUAAAGACAUAACAUCUUCUUUUUGAAACACAACCACCACUUCCAAAUUUAUUAAUCAAAACAAAUCAUAUAAAAAAAUUAGCCAGUGAGCUCCUCCUCCUUGUGGGUCUCGAUGGUGACGUCAGAGGUCGGAUAAGCCACACAGGUGAGCACCCACCCUUCCUCCAACUGGUCGUCGUCGAGGAAGCUGCCGUCUGAUUGGUCCAGACUGCCGGAGACCACUUUCCCGGCGCAUGAUGAGCAAGACCCAGCCCUGCAUGAGUAUGGCAGAUCGAUACCGACUUCCUCCAUGGCGUGGUCAAGGAUGUACACGUCAUCAGGGCACUCGAACUCCUGGGUUCCUUCCGGGGUCACGAGGGUGACCUUGUAUGUGGCCAUCAUGGUAACUCCGCCGCGGUUACGGAUGCCGGUGCUGGAUUUGAGUCCGAAGAGGGCUGCUGUUUUGUUGGAGGUGGAGAGAGAACGGAUGGCGGUGGUGGGCUGUUGGCGGCGGAGGAAGGAUGUGCUGGCCAUGGUGCCGGUAAGAGAUGCGGUUGCUGCUGCCAUUGUGGUGGUGGUUGUGGUUCGGAGAGACAGAGGGAGAGAUGGAAGGGAGUAGAAGUAGUGAGAAUGAGGAUAGCAAGGAGGGCUUGUGGAAAUAGUGUGUCUUGAGGAUGAGAUAUCUGCCACGUGUCAGAUUUUUGUGGUGUGCUUUAUCAUGUUAUCACAAUACGUCUAUUUUUUUCGCCAAUUUUCAUUUGUUUAUGGUAUUAUUUUAAUAGUAAACAUGAUCUUGGAUGUA
rnacentral:lncRNA from 1 species